GGCUGGUCCAAGUGCAGUGGAGUUUACAGCUAAUUGAUCACGACCCAUUAGAAACCCCUUUGUUCUUCACUCCCUCUGCCUCACUAGACUAGCCUUAA
ensembl:misc_RNA Y_RNA Y RNA